rnacentral:rRNA from 1 species
UACGAAGGGGGCUAGCGUUGCUCGGAAUCACUGGGCGUAAAGCGCACGUAGGCGGCUUCUUAAGUCAGGGGUGAAAUCCUGGAGCUCAACUCCAGAACUGCCUUUGAUACUGAGAAGCUUGAGUCCGGGAGAGGUGAGUGGAAUUCCGAGUGUAGAGGUGAAAUUCGUAGAUAUUCGGAAGAACACCAGUGGCGAAGGCGGCUCACUGGACCGGCAUUGACGCUGAGGUGCGAAAGCGUGGGGAGCAAACAGG